AUGUGGGAGCAAUGCCUGCUGAGAGCAACAGCACUUUGCAGCCGCUCACAGCAAUCCUGUAUUUCUUCUAUAGGAGAAAAAUACUGUUUUUCCAGGAGAAGGAAUGCUUCCACAGGAGCACAUGCUGCUAGGUGAGCACCAGCAACAUCACAUGGACCAUUUAUCUCACACCCAGCACAAACAUCAGAGGCAAGAGAGCUUUGGCUGUCUGCAGUUGACUCGGGAUGUGUCUGUGAUCUACAGAUGGAAACAGGGAAUUCCAUUCUUUCUCCUGCAAGAGUCUGGCAGGAGAUGUCUGCCCUCUAAUAAGAAGCCCAGGAGCUAAUUGAAGAUGAGGGGAAAAAAAAAGCUUUAAAGGAAGAAUAAAGUUAAUAAAGGGUGGACAGGAAGAGGGGAGACUGUGCUUGCUCAGCCAAUCUUGCUCUUGUGCCCCUAUGUGUUAUCUUCUGCACUGGGAAUAUUGAACUAGGGGCCAGCUGCAUUGCCCUGGCCCCGUGGCAUGGUGCUCGCUGUGUGCAGCUCCUUCUGAUGCUCUGUCCCCUGUGACCAAAAUGCAUCAGGGACUGAGAAAAUACAGCCUCUGGGCAUUUGCACUGGCAUCAGGAGGAGCCAUGCUUGCUGCCUCUGCCAAGCUGCUGCCACUGUGUACCAAAUUGCCCGUGUAAUUCUGCCCCUUGUGCAGCAGACGAGAAAUGGGCUUGAUCUGAGCCUGUUCUUCUCAUCUGAAUUCAUUCAGAUAGCAGAAUUAAUCUGCAAUUGUGUAUAAUUAACUUCUCCCAGGGUGCUUUUGAGAUGAGACCUGAUAAGUCAGUGUUGCGCAUUGUAUUAUGGACAUUUCCAUCUGGAUAUGCCCUGUUGUGUCCUCCUGCUCUCAAAUGUUGUAGUCUGGACUCAGUUCUGUAAUCUCGGUUCAUAUGCAAAAAGGUGAGUUCACACCUGACUCUCUGGCUCUCUACUUUUGUGUACAAGUGUAGCGUUCCCAGUUUACUCCUGCAGGUUUAAUACCAGCCCUGGUUUG